AUGUCUCCUCAUUUCCAACCUGAACCUCCCCUGGAGCAACUUGAGGCCAUUCCCUCUAGUCCUAUGGCAUUAUCUGUGAGAAGAGGCCGACCCCAGCUCCCCACACGUUCCUUUCAGGUACUUGUAGGGAGCAACGAAGACUCCCCUCAGCCCCCCUUCCCCAGAAGGGAAGAGGGACGGACAGACGGACGCCACGCGCAUGCGCAGUGCCGCAGCGCGGCUCCCCUCAGCGCCGCCCGCUCCCGGCCGCGCGCGCCAAAGCGGCGGAAGGACCCGCGGGCGUCGCGCACGCGCACUCGGCCUCCCCCGCCGCGGGCUGCCGAGGGGGGGGGAAGCGGCGGCGGGCGCCAUCUUGGCGGAGCCGUGCCGGGAGCUGCGGGCGGCGGGGCUGGGCGCGGAGCCUGUCCUAGCGGCGCGGCCGUUAAGUUGAUUUUACAGAAUUUAUCAGGUCUUCCAAGCACAAACAGUCUUGUGGCUGGGAACUAGGAUAUGCUCUCCUGAGUGCAUGUGGCUGCUGCAAUUAAUACUCUGACUACAUGAAAGAGACAACAGUUUUGAACGCUGAGAAAACGUACGGUAUUGAACAGAACCGAUCACUGGUUAGAGCAACUUGUCAAAGCAGUCAAGUCAUCAGUGUUGGUGAAUUACUUCAUUUCCCAAUGUCGCAAUUAUUCUUUUUCCUUUCUCCUUUUAUCAUCUAGCAUUUUCGGUGUUUAUGUUCCCAAAUGUCC
rnacentral:lncRNA from 1 species